UACGUAGGGGGCUAGCGUUGUCCGGAAUCAUUGGGCGUAAAGCGCGUGUAGGCGGCCCGAUAAGUCCGCUGUGAAAGUCCAGGGCUCAACCCUGGGAUGCCGGUGGAUACUGUCGGGCUCGAGUCCGGAAGAGGCGAGUGGAAUUCCUGGUGUAGCGGUGAAAUGCGCAGAUAUCAGGAGGAACACCAAUGGCGAAGGCAGCUCGCUGGGACGUGACUGACGCUGAGACGCGAAAGCGUGGGGAGCAAACCGG
rnacentral:rRNA from 1 species